GCUUACGGACAUGCCAGCUGUAGAUUGCUCAAUCUUGUCUGAUCUCAGAUGCUAAGAAGGCUUGGGCCUGGUUAGUACUUGGAUGGGAGACUACCUGGGAAUACCAGGUGCUGUAAGCU
ensembl:rRNA 5S_rRNA 5S ribosomal RNA